rnacentral:rRNA from 1 species
GACGAACGCUGGCGGCGUGCUUAACACAUGCAAGUCGAACGGAGUGGCGAACGGGCGAGUAACACGUGGGUGAUCGGCCUUGCCCUGCGGGAUAAGCUUGGGAAACUGGGUCUAAUACCGGAUAUUGCAAGAUGAGCUCGCGUCCUAUCGGCUUGUUGGUGGGGUAAUGGCCUACCAAGGCUUCGACGGGUAGCCGGCCUUAGAGAGUGUACGGCCACAUUGUGACUGGGAUACGGCCCAGACUCGUACGGGAGGCAGCAGUGGGGAAUAUUGCACAAUGGGCGGAAGCCUGAUGCAGCGACGCCGCGUGGUGGAUGAAGGCCUUCGGGUUGUAAACUCCUUUCGACAGGGACGCGGUACCUGUAUAAGAAGCACCGGCUAACUACGUGCCAGCAGCCGCGGUAAUUC